ACACUCCAAGUAAUAGUGGCGAUUUGCGCCGGGGCCUAGUGCAGAAAGGACACAGUUGAUAACCGCUUUAUGGUUACCGGGUUAUCAACCGCGUCGGAACACACGGGGCUUAGUCAUUUAUACCGAAAUGUAACGGAAAACGCCAUCAAAUGAUCAGCACGGUCGCACCCACCGGGGUGCGGCUGUAGAGAUCGACGAUGUCGUCGUUCGUCAAACGAAUGCAACCGCUCGAUACGGCCUGGCCGAUCGUCCAGGGCUCAUUC
rnacentral:sRNA from 1 species